UGAAUACGAGACGCUACGGCGUCGAAGCAGUCUAUGUCAUACUCCCAAGAGAAGCUUGCACUGUCAUAAACAAAUAAUGCCUGUACCAUAACCGACACAGGUGGGUAGGUAGAGUAUACUAAGGGGCGCGAGAUAACUCUCUCUAAGGAACUCGGCAAAAUGACUCCGUAACUUCGGGAGAAGGAGUGCCUUAUUUAUAAGGUUGCAAUAACAAGAUCCAAGCAACUGUUUAUCAAAAACACAGGUCUCCGCUAAGUCGUAAGACGAUGUAUGGGGGCUGACGCCUGCCCAGUGCCAGAAGGUUAAAGAAGUUGGUUAGCAUUAGCGAAGCUGAUAACUGAAGCCCUGGUGAACGGCGGCCGUAACUAUAACGGUCCUAAGGUAGCGAAAUUCCUUGUCGGGUAAGUUCCGACCCGCACGAAAGGCGUAAUGAUUUGGAUACUGUCUCAGAGAGGGGCUCGGUGAAAUAGACUUGUCUGUGAAGAUGCGGACUACCUGCACCAGGACAGAAAGACCCUAUGAAGCUUUACUGUAACUUGAAAUUGAAAUUGGACUUUAUUUGCGCAGUAUAGGUGGGAGGCAUUGAUAAUAUUCUUGCGGGAAUGUUGGAGCCAUCAGUGAGAUACCACUCUUGUAAUGUUAGAUUUCUAACUUUGGAUCAUUAUCUGGUCAAAGGACAGUUUCAGGCGGGCAGUUUGACUGGGGCGGUCGCCUCCUAAAUGGUAACGGAGGCGCACAAAGGUUUCCUCUGAACGGGUAGAAAUCGUAUCUAGAGUGUAAAGGCAUAAGGAAGCUUGACUGUGAGACCUACAAGUCGAGCAGGGACGAAAGUCGGUCUUAGUGAUCUGACGGUGCUGAGUGGAAAGGCCGUCACUCAACGGAUAAAAGUUACUCUAAGGAUAACAGGCUGAUCUCCCCCAAGAGUUCACAUCGACGGGGAGGUUUGGCACCUCGAUGUCGGCUCAUCGCAUCCUGGGGCGGUAGUACGUCCCAAGGGUUGGGCUGUUCGCCCAUGAAAGCGGUACGCGAGCUGGGUUCAGAACGUCGUGAGACAGUUCGGUCCAUAUCCGGUGUAGGCGUUAGAAUAUUGAGAGGAGCCUUCUUUAGUACGAGAGGACCGAGAAGGACAUACCUCUGGUGUACCAGUUAUCGUGCCAACGGUAAACGCUGGGUAGCUAUGUAUGGAGAGGAUAACCGCUGAAAGCAUCUAAGUGGGAAGCCCACCUCAAGAUAAGUAUUCU
rnacentral:rRNA from 1 species